CAAAGAUUAAUCCAUGCAUGUGUGUCUCAAAGAUUAAGCCAUGCAUGU
rnacentral:misc_RNA from 1 species